GAAAUCCUGUGGCGAGAGGAUUCAGUCUGGCUGGCGGGACGCGGUGUCGGAAAACCGAGCAGGGCUUCCCUGGACAGGGGCCGUUCGRCGCCGCGACAUCYYGCGUUCCAGACGCAUUUGUCUCUCGUCCGAAGGACGCUGCAGCCGGUCUGGCAGUGCAAACGUGACGGCCUGGAGGUCGGGARAUGGCAGGUGGCCGGUGGCUCGCCUCGUGCGGGUCGUCGGUUGUUAGCCGUCCCGUCAGUGGCUCGUCGCCAGACCGUGGUGUCGCGAGUCCCUUCGGGGACUCCUCGUCUCCACCCCAGCGUCGCGGGACAGAUCGUGGCAAGGGUGUCRCGCCCUYCCGUCGCACCCCCUCGGUGUGGACGGAGAAGCGCGGUGCCCCGUUGGCYGCGGCGGACCCGUGGGGGACCGGAGGCUGGCAGCGAGUAGGUCGGUCACCCACCCGACCCGUCUUGAAACACGGACCAAGGAGUCUAACAUGUGCGCGAGUCAAUGGGUCUUGAACAGGCCCAGGGGCGCAAUGAAAGCGAAGGAAGRCCUAGMGUCUUCUGAGCGGGGAUCC
rnacentral:rRNA from 1 species